CAACCUAGUGAGACUGUGUCUCUAAAAGAAAAAUAAUAAAUUAAAUAAAUUAAAUUAAAAAUUAAGCUUUUUAGUAGCUCAACAGACAUACGUGGCUAGUGAUUAGAGGAGUGGACAACACAGGGCUAUCAUCUUUGUCCCAUCCUCAAAGAAGGAGUCAUUUAUCUUUCCAACUUCCCACGGAAUAGUAAAUAAAACUGAAGUCAUCCUGUAAGGAGAUAAAGAUACUAAUUUCCUCAUUAUGGAAUUCAGCUUAUAGAAUACAGAAAUGGAAUAAGUAUGUUUUUAAAAAUCUGAUAUAGGGGGUCAGAAUAGAAUUAGAAAGUAUUUGGAAAAGGGAAGUGAACAUCUUUUGCAUUUCUAUUGUAUUUAAUCCCCACAGUACCCCUAGGGGGCAUGUACUUCUCUGAAAUUCCCAUUUUACUGCUAAAGAAACAGAAGCUCAAAGAGUUUGCAGACAGUUAAGUGGUACACAGAAUUUGAGGUUAACUAUAAUCAAUUUAACUAACUUUUAGGUGAGUGUUUAAGGAACUUAACUAACUCUUAGGUCUUGGGCCUGUGCACAAAACACUGCCCAGCUACUGAGUCACAUAAUUAUGGAUACUGAUUUCCUGGAGGAGUUUAGGAAAAACCGGACAAAGUACACGAUGGAAGUGUUCAUCUCCGCAGCUAGCCAUUUUAACCUCUCUCUAUUGAAAGCGCCAUAAUCUGUAAAUUCUUCACUUGCUAUGGUGACUGACUCAACAUUCUCCCUCACUGGGUGCGGAACCUAGUAACCAGUAGUUUUAAAAGCUUCCCCGGUAUUGUGAUACAUAAUGAGGGCUGGCAACCACCGAGACGGAUUAGAUCUCAAACUUCAAUUUGCAUCAGAAUCACCUGGGAUGGGGGUGGGGCGUGGGGUGCUUUAGAAACACAGAUCAUUGGGCCCCACUCCAGAAUUUCUGAUUUGGUAAAUCCGGGGUGGAACCCAUGAAUUUGCAUUGCUAACAAGUUCCUCAGGUACUCUCACGCUGAUGGUCCCGGCAUCACACUUGGAGAACCACUGAACUAGAAAAAAGAUGGAUGUACUUAAUUGAGGUCAGCGAUCAACACAGGUUCACUCUUGCUACUAAUGUGACAUGUUGGGCAGUGAUAGAAAGGCCACUGCAAAAGGGUGAUGCUCCAGCCUCACUCUCUCAGACACUGAAAAUAGUCCCAAAGAUGAAGAAACAGUGGAGCUGAGGUCUACGACAGCACAUGCUCAGUGGAGGAAUGCCGGGCUUUGGAGAAACUGCUCAAGGACGGAAAGGACUGGAGAAAUUCCAUGUGGUUGGUGUUGGAGGUGCUAGCAAUACCAGACGCUGUAUGGAACUGACAGUCAGCACCCCUUGGCUGUGCAUCUUCCACACUCACAACACUGCAAAACUAGGUUAUCAAGAAAAGGAAAGGGUUACAACUACCACUCCCCCUGCCCCCGAAAAAAACCCCACAAAACAAACCUAAAGAGUGUAAAUGAUACAAUAAAUUCAUUAAUGAAGCAUCUCAGUGAAGGGAGAUGAAAAUUGUGUCACAGCCCAGCAUCAGGCGGACGUCCCAAUCCACGUUACGCAAGCACUGGAUAAAGAUAAGGACUGGAUAAAUUUCCUCGCAUAAAAUCGACUGCCUUACAACCCCGCAGAGGUGGGGAGGAGGAAUUACAUUUGUUAGGCAACAUUAAGAAAAGAUUAUCAGAUUAUAUCCAUUGGUAAUAAAACUCCCCGCCUCAGGAGUGAGCAGUGCCCUGCACGCUGGGGACAGAGCAAUCAAAUCCAGCCUGUGAGUCACCGUCUCUUCUCCAACUCCGUCCAAACCUCAAGGAGACGGGACUCUCCUCGCUCUUCUGUGUCCUACUGAUGGACAGUUCCUCUCUCUGCAGGCCCUGAGAUCACAUUCCCCAGAGAACUAGCAAUGAUUCCCCGUCCCAGGCAGCUCAGGACUCUUCUCUCCCCGAAGGAAGACGGAGUCCCACCCAAAUCACCUGUGAGCCUGCAGCGAAAGGACUCGCUGGUCCUCAGGUGAGCGGCCCUGAGUCUGGAGCUUUGCCCCAGUCAUCACUGGAAGUAAAGUUGGGCUGGGCUGGGCUCCUUGCAAAAUAAAGGGGAGCCUGGCUGCACAGCCACGCUCCGGCCCGGGUGAGGUCCCUUCUGCCCCCUCCGCGUUACACUGAGCUCCGUCUGCCGUAAUCCCCCGUCUGUUGCCUCUCCAGGCUCUGAGCCCCCUCCACAAAAGGGGGAUGCGAAACCCAAAGGGGUUAGCGGGUGAGCCCUGCAAACUGCAGACACUAGACCGCGGACG